rnacentral:rRNA from 1 species
AGAAUCAACGCUGGCGGCGUGCCUAACACAUGCAAGUCGAACGAGAAAGUGGAGCAAUCCAUGAGUAAAGUGGCGACCGGGUGAGUAACACGUGACUAACCUACCUUCGAGUGGGGGAUAACCUACGGGAAAACCGAGGCUAAUACCGCAUAACAUCGCAAGAUCAAAGCAGCAAUGCGCUGGAAGAGGGGGUCGCGGCUGAUUAGCUAGUUGGCGGGUAACGGCCCACAAGGCGAAGAUCGGUA